ACCAGAGGCUGGAAGCUGGCUGGGAACUACAUGUCCCAGAAUUCUGUAGUAGCAGUGUUCUAAUUUAGAUUUCCACCAAUAGCAGCCAGGUGUCCAAGUUUUACAAGUGGAAGAUACAUGGACUUUGCAUAUGACAGACGUGAAGUUUAGCCAGUGGUUUCCUGGCAUUCUAUGACAAUCACACACUUCAGUGCAGUUGAGGCCCAAUUUUCCCUUAUUGGGGCAAAUUUCGGAUUUCCUUAAAGCUAGUAAUGGAUUUUUCCGAUCUUCACUUAUACAGGCUUUCAUUUUGAACUCCUUUUUCCCUCUGUGAAAUCUCUCCCUGAAUCAAAAAUAUAAACUUCCUCUUGUUUGAUUAAAGUGGAUAAAAUAUCAAUCCAGAAUCAUUUUGUUCAGUGGAUAGAAGAAACAGCAGUAACAACCUCUCCGAUUAUAGUGAGUGGCUGGCUCCAUGAACCACUGUUUGUGCAUUUAAAUCACAAAAAUCUCAAUUUAGCUCUAUUUGGUAAGUAUUUGAACAGGACACACACACACGCUAUUUAGGAAACUGCAGCUCUGAAUCUUUACCCACGGACUGGUAAAAUGGCACCAAUUCGUGUUGGAGGGGAGCAAGCUCUGGGGACAUGUAUGAUAUGAUUUUUGUUGUGGGCUAGGAUAAACAUGAAGUCCUCCGUAUAUUCUCACUGCAGUUAGUGUCAGAAAUCCAUGCCUGUGGGUCAACUUUGGGAAUUCAUUUCAUAUUCUGGUAAGAAUGAGCCAGUAACAAUUUGGAACACAGAAUUUUGGCUGAACAAAUAGACACUCGAGGCAGGCUUUUAAAUAAAUGGGGGGAAAAUAGCA
rnacentral:lncRNA from 1 species